rnacentral:rRNA from 1 species
UACGAGGGGUCCAAGCGUUGUUCGGAAUUACUGGGCGUAAAGCGGGUGUAGGCGGUCUCGUCAGUCAGAUGUGAAAGCCCCGGGCUCAACCCGGGAAGUGCAUCUGAUACUGCGAGACUUGAGUACUGGAGAGGAGAGUGGAAUUCCUGGUGUAGUGGUGAAAUACGUAGAUAUCAGGAGGAACAUCGGUGGCGAAGGCGGCUCUCUGGCCAUGUACUGACGCUCAGACCCGAAAGCGUGGGGAGCAAACAGG